rnacentral:ncRNA from 2 species
UGGCCUAUCGAUCCUUUAGACCUUCGGA